AUUGAACGCUGGCGGCAGGCCUAACACAUGCAAGUCGAGCGAGCGGCGGACGGGUGAGUAAUGUAUGGGGACUGCCCGAUAGAGGGGGAUAACUACUGGAAACGGUAGCUAAUACCGCAUACUAUCGGAUCACCCAUAUGGGAUUAGCUAGUAGGUGAGGUAAUGGCUAACCUAGGCGACGAUCCCUAGCUGGGCUGAGAGGAUGAUCAGCCACACUGGUACUGUGACACGGCCCGGACUCCGACGGUGACAUCGGUGGGGAACAUUGCACAAUGGGCGCACGCCUGAUGCAGCCAGUCGUCGUGUAUGAAGAAGGCCCUAGGGUUGUAAAGUACUUUCAGUCGGGAGGCGUUGCCGACAGAAGAAGCACCGGCUAACUCCGUGCCAGCAGCCGCGGUAAUAC
rnacentral:rRNA from 1 species